rnacentral:rRNA from 1 species
CGCGUAGGUGGUAGUGUAAGUCUGGGGUGGAAUCCCAGGGCUUAACCCUGGAGCUGCCUUGGAAACUGUAUUACUUGAGUCAGUGAGGGGAGGGUAGAAUUCCUGGUGUAGCGGUGAAAUGCGUAGAUAUCAGGAGGAAGGCCUGUGGCGAAGGCGGCCCUCUGGCGCUGGACUGACACUGAGGCGCGAAAGCGUGGGGAGCAAACAGGAUUAGAUACCCUGGUAGUCCACGCCCUAAACGGUGGGCACUAGGUGUAGGGCUCGUAAGGGUUCUGUGCCGAAGGGAAACCAUUAAGUGCCCCGCCUGGGGAGUACGGCCGCAAGGUUGAA